GAAGUUCGCCAGGCAACCGCUGAUCACGAAAGUGGUUGGAGGAAAGUCCGGGCCCCAUAGAGCGGAAUGCCGGCUAACGGCCGGGCGCUAUAAGUCGGGCGGCGCAAGCCGCACGACCCAAGGCGACAGACAGUGCAACAGAAAGAUACCGCCGAUGGCUUCGCCUGACUUUGACGCCGCAAGGCGGCAAAGUCCCCUCCUGAAGAGGAGGGACUCCUUUACAGGAGGGGGUGGAGAUCAGGUAAGGGUGAAAUGGUGGCGUGGCGUGUUGCGUCGCGAAAGCGAUGCAACAAGCUGCGUCAAGGCCGCGCAAGCGACCUUGAGGUAAGAGCCCACCGCGGACGUGGUAACACGGACGGCAUGGCAAACCUCAUUCGGGGCAAGGCCAAAUAGGGGAGUAAUGGCGUGGCUCGCGUCGCUCCCGGGUAGGCUGCUAGAGGCCGUCGGUAACGGCGGUCCCAGAGGAAUGGUUGCCCACGACAGAACCCGGCUUAUCGGCGGACUUCCCAC
rnacentral:RNase_P_RNA from 1 species